rnacentral:rRNA from 1 species
UACGGAGGGUGCAAGCGUUGUCCGGAUUUAUUGGGUUUAAAGGGUGCGUAGGCGGCUUCUUAAGUCAGUGGUGAAAGCCAACAGCUCAACUGUUGAACUGCCAUUGAUACUGGGGAGCUUGAGUACAGACGAGGUAAGCGGAAUUGACAGUGUAGCGGUGAAAUGCAUAGAUAUUGUCAAGAACUCCGAUUGCGAAGGCAGCUUACUAGACUGUAACUGACGCUGAGGCACGAAAGCGUGGGGAUCAAACAGG